GACAGAGGGUGCAAACGUUGUUCGGAAUUACUGGGCGUAAAGCGCGCGUAGGCGGCUUUGCAAGUCGAGUGUGAAAUCCCCAGGCUCAACCUGGGAACUGCAUUCGAGACUGCAUAGCUAGAGUAUGGGAGAGGGAAGUGGAAUUUCAGGUGUAGCGGUGAAAUGCGUAGAUAUCUGAAGGAACAUCAGUGGCGAAAGCGACUUCCUGGACCAAUACUGACGCUCAUGUGCGAAAGCGUGGGGAGCAAACAAGG
rnacentral:rRNA from 1 species